GAUGAACGCUGGCGGCGUGCCUAAUACAUGCAAGUCGAGCGAACGGACGAGAAGCUUGCUUUUCUGAUGUUAGCGGCGGACGGGUGAGUAACACGUGGAUAACCUACCUAUAAGACUGGGAUAACUUCGGGAAACCGGAGCUAAUACCGGAUAAUAUUUUGAACCGCAUGGUUCAAAAGUAAAAGACGGUCUUGCUGUCACUUAUAGAUGGAUCCGCGCUGCAUUAGCUAGUUGGUAAGGUAACGGCUUACCAAGGCAACGAUGCAUAGCCGACCUGAGAGGGUGAUCGGCCACACUGGAACUGAGACACGGUCCAGACUCCUACGGGAGGCAGCAGUAGGGAAUCUUCCGCAAUGGGCGAAAGCCUGACGGAGCAACGCCGCGUGAGUGAUGAAGGUCUUCGGAUCGUAAAACUCUGUUAUUAGGGAAGAACAUAUGUGUAAGUAACUGUGCACAUCUUGACGGUACCUAAUCAGAAAGCCACGGCUAACUACGUG
rnacentral:rRNA from 1 species